AAAAAAAAUAAAUGAGCCAUCUGAUUCUCUACGAAUAGGUAGGCUGUAGUUGAAUCUACUUCUGCCUCCUCUUCAUAGCCUCUGCCUUGCUCUUUAUUACCUUUACCAAACAUUUUACCACAUCUUCACUUCCGUUGAUAUGCGAAGGUCGGCAACACCAAAGCAACGAUGACGGCCAGCGACGAAGACAUUGUUCAGGUGUGGUCGCUUUGAGCUCAGGGUGACGAAGAUCCGACGAGAAAGAGUGACACCAUCAGUUUCUUGUGGUCGAUUCGAUCUCCGCUGUACCAAGAUUCGUGAGGAAAGGAUUCAUUUAGGUACACCCCCAUUUACUGAAGACGCUUUGAAGACGAAGCAAAAGGCAGCACACACACCAGAGUCAUCUUCUUUUGCUGAAAACG